CCUCAUGAGACUGCGGAGGACAUUACCGAGUUCUAUAACUCCCUGCCCAUGUGAAUCACUUAACGGUGCCUCCCCGGGUCACGCCCACUUCGCCUUGGCCUACCCUGUGUGGCCUACCCGGGGGAGGUGGCUUCCCCGGUCUGCCGACAACCCUUCUCUGUUUGAUAUUGAAUUCUGAACCUAUGUUUUACUACAUUAACUUUUUCAACAACGGAUCUCUUGGGUCUGGCAUCUUUAAAUACAACUUUCAACUGCGAAACUUUAGGCUAAUUGAUCAAUUCAGAGAAUCACCAAAUCUUUGAACUCAUGUGAAUCCCAUAAUUAUUCGAAUGGGCAGGACCUUUAACGCGUCUUUUCUACCCUGAAAUUCCGAGGGCUAAGUGUGGGGAAGCCACGGGGACUUCUCUCCCCAUAAUUUUUGGCGGACUUGGCUCACACUCUUUGCAUAUGAAAGUUGUGUCUGCCCUUGCCGUUGGACCCCUCCCCUGUGCAAUAACCUGCCACCUUCUUAAAGUUGACCUCGUGAAAAUUCUCUGCGCUCGCUGUUGAAAGCAUUUGGUGACCCGGAGCGAAAAAACCGUCUCCUUGCCGAGACAAUCAUUUGACAAUCUGAGCUCAAAUCAGGUAAGACUACCCGCUGAACAAAAGCAUAUAAUAG
rnacentral:rRNA from 1 species